rnacentral:rRNA from 1 species
GAUGAACGCUGGCGGCGUGCCUAACACAUGCAAGUCGAACGGGGGCAGAUUGAAACCUAGUGAUAUCUGCCCGAGUGGCGGACGGGUGAGUAACGCGUGGACAACCUGCCGCAUGCAGGGGGAUACCGGCUGGAAACAGCCGCUAAUACCGCAUAUGCGCACGGCGCCGCAUGGCGCAGUGCGGAAAGGGAGCGAUCCCGGCAUGCGAUGGGUCCGCGUCCGAUUAGCUUGUUGGCGGGGCAGCGGCCCACCAAGGCGACGAUCGGUAGCCGGCCUGAGAGGGCGGACGGCCACAUUGGGACUGAGACACGGCCCAG